rnacentral:rRNA from 1 species
GACGAACGCUGGCGGCGUGCCUAAUACAUGCAAGUCGAACGCAGUGGGGACGGGUGCGUAACACGUGGGUAACCUCCCAUCAGACGGGAGAACACUUGGAUACAGGUGCUAAACCGAUACUGAUUGAUGGACCCGCGGUGCAUUAGCUGGUUGGGGAGGUAACGGCUCACCAAGGCGACGAUGCAUACCCGGCCUGAGAGGGUGAUCGGCCACACUGGGACUGAGACACGGCCCAGACUCCUACGGGAGGCAGCAGUAGGGAAUCUUCGGCAAUGGGCGAAAGUCUGAUCGAGCAACGCCGCGUGAGUGAAGAAGGUUUUCGGAUCGUAAAACUCUGUUGUUAGAGAAGCGGUAUCUAAACAAAAAGCCACGGCUAACUACGUGCCAGCAGCCGCGGUAAUAC